rnacentral:tRNA from 1 species
GCACUAGUAGCUCAGUGGUUAGAGCACCGGUCUUGUAAGCCGGGUGUCGAAGGUUAAACUCCUUCCUCGUGCU